UGUGAACUUGGGGCCUGGUGCGGGGGAAAUACGGCGGGGUGAAGCGUGUGGCGGAAUUAUGUGGCGUAAGGGGCACGGAGGAGGCUUAGCAAGUCCCAUGUGAAAUCCCAAGGCUUAAACGGGGAAGUGCAUGGGAAACUGCUGAGCUUGAGGACUUAAGAGGAUCGCGGAAUUCCCGGUGUAGAGGUGAAAUUCGUAGAUAUCGGGAGGAACACCAGUGGCGAAGGCGGCGAUCUGGGAAGAUACUGACGCUGAGGUGCGAAAGCGUGGGGAGCAAACAGGAUUAGAUACCCUGUAGUC
rnacentral:rRNA from 1 species